GGAGCAGGUCGGGCAGCCGCAGGCCCGCGGGAUUGGCGCGAGGCCUGAGGAAAGUCCGGGCUCCACAGGGCAGGGUGCUGGGUAACUCCCAGCGGGGGCAACCCCAGGGAUAGUGCCACAGAAACAUACCGCCCCGAUCCUAAUGGCGGGUCGGGGUAAGGGUGAAAUGGCCGGGUAAGAGCCGGCCGGCGGCCUGGUGACAGGCUGGCCGGGCAAACCCCACCCGGAGCAAGGCCAGGUAGGGGGAGAUGAGGUGGCCCGCCGACUCCCCGGGUAGGCCGCACGAGACCUCGGGCAACCGGGGUCCGAGAGAGAUGGUUGCCCCGGAGGCGCCUCGCGGCGCAUCCGGACAGAACCCGGCUUACAGACCUGCUCCACCU
rnacentral:RNase_P_RNA from 1 species